UACGGAGGGUGCAAGCGUUGUCCGGAUUUAUUGGGUUUAAAGGGUGCGUAGGCGGUUCUUUUAAGUCUGGGGUGAAAGCCCGUUGCUCAACAACGGAACUGCCCUGGAAACUGGAGGACUUGAGUACAGACGAGGGUGGCGGAAUGGAUGGUGUAGCGGUGAAAUGCAUAGAUACCAUCCAGAACCCCGAUUGCGAAGGCAGCUGCCUAGACUGUAACUGACGCUGAGGCACGAAAGCGUGGGGAGCGAACAGG
rnacentral:rRNA from 1 species